rnacentral:rRNA from 1 species
GUCUAAGAACAUGUCUCUAUAAGACGAAUCUGCGAAAAGCUCAUUAAAACAGCUAAAAUCUACUCGAAAACUUUUGAAACGGAUAUCUGCGAUAAUUUUGGAGCUAAUACGUGCCUCGAAGCUUAUGCAAGUGAUUGCUAAGUGCACUUAUUAGAAUAAGACCACUCGGGGAGACCCGUUUUGGUGACUCUGAAUAAUUUUGCGGAUCGCAUGGUCUAGCACCGGCGACGUAUCGUUCGAGUAACUGCCUUAUCAACUGUUGAUGGAAGUUUAUAUGACUACCAUGGUUGUUACGGGUAACGGAGAAUAAGGGUUCGACUCCGGAGAGGGAGCCUGAGAAACGGCUACCACAUCCAAGGAAGGCAGCAGGCGCGUAAAUUACCCACUCUCAAUUCGAGGAGGUAGUAACUAUUAAUAACGAGACAGAACUCUAUGAGGUCUGUCAUCGGAAUGGGUACAAUUUAAACCCUUUAACGAGUAACAAUGAGAGGGCAAGUCUGGUGCCAGCAGCCGCGGUAAUUCCAGCUCUCAAAGUGUAUAUCGUCAUUGCUGCGGUUAAAAAGCUCGUAGUUGGAUCUGAGAUUUUGAACUUGGUCCUUCAUUGGAGUGACCAUGAUUCAUAUCUGUACUGUGGGUUUUCCGUUGUUUGCUUUCAUCGGCAGGCUUCGGUGGCUCAUGAAUUACCUUGAAUAAAGCAAAGUGCUCAAGACAGGCGGUAUGCCUGAAUGUUUCUGCAUGGAAUAAUGGAAUAUGACUUCGGUUCAUUCUAUUGGUUUUGG